rnacentral:lncRNA from 1 species
UUUGAGCUUCCUGGCUGCUUUGUUUACCUAAGCAAGCCUGGGCAAUGGCGGGCGCCCCUCCCCCAGCCUCGUUGCCGCCUUGCAGUUUGAUCUCAGACUGCUGUGCUAGCAAUCAUCGAGACUCCGUGAGGGUAGGACCCUCCCAGCCAGGUGCCGGAUAUAAUCUCGUGGUGCGCCGUUUUUUUAAGCCGGUCCGAAAAGCGCAAUAUUCGGGUGGGAGUGACCUGAUUUUCCAGGUGCGUCCGUCACCCCUUUCUUUGACUCGGAAAGGGAACUCCCUGACCCCUUGUGCUUCCCAAGUGAGGCAAUGCCUCGCCCUGCUUCGGCUCGCGCACGGUGCGCGCACCCACUGACCUGCGCCCACUGUCUGGCACUCCCUAGUGAGAUGAACCCGGUACCUCAGAUGGAAAUGCAGAAAUCACCCGUCUUCUGUGUCGCUCACGCUGGGAGCUGUAGACCGGAGCUGUUCCUAUUCGGACAUCUUGGCUCCUCCCCAAGAGUUCUGGAGUCUGAGAAGUCAAGGAUCGGGGUGCUGGCCUAUUCAGUUCCUGGUAAGGGCUGUCUUCCUGGCUUGCAGUUGAACUACUUCUUGCUGUGUCUUCACAAGAUAAGAAAAUUGAAAUGCAGUGAGGUUAAGUAAGUUGCUCAAAAUUAGUAGUGCCAGGAUUCAAACUCUGCUACUGAUAUGGACAGGAGGCUGGAAAAUACUGGGUAGAAGAGGGUGGAGUCCCUGGCAAGGGUUCCACCCUAAAGCUGGGCCCCACAGCCCUAAAUGAGAACUUUACUUCCCUGUUUUCCCACCUGAAUGUUGCCUUUUGGCCCAGCAUGCCCCCAUCCUGUGCCGAUAAGAACUCCAGACCCCAAACUCAGCUCAUACACACACGGAAGAGAGAAGCAUCUGAACAUCAAGAAGAGAAGAAGCUGCUGGACAUCAGAAACUGUGAAAGGAGAGGAGUUUGGCUGAGCUCCAGGGGAAGACUGCCUGCACAUUCUAUCCCCUUUUCAGUUCCCCAUCCUGCUGUCAGCCACAUUUACCACUCAAUAAAAUCUUCACAUUCACCAUCCUUCAAGUCCGUGUGACCUCAUUCCUCUUGGGCACUGGACAAGGACCCAGUUGCGGGUGCAGUAGGCUGUCACACUGACUCUCCACUGAGCUGUUUAACACUUAAGUUGUCUGUAGACAGCAAAGCUAAAACAGCACACUGUAAC